CUGGACUGUAACUGACGCUGAGGCACGAAAGCGUGGGGAUCAAACAGGAUUAGAUACCNUGGUAGNNCACGCCGUAAACGAUGAAUGCUAGCUGUUAGCGAUAUACUGUUAGCGGCACAGAGAAAUCGUUAAGCAUUCCACCUGGGGAGUACGCCGGCAACGGUGAAACUCAAAGGAAUUGACGGGGGCCCGCACAAGCGGAGGAACAUGUGGUUUAAUUCGAUGAUACGCGAGGAACCUUACCUGGGCUUAAAUUGCAGUGGAAUAACGUGGAAACAUGUUAGCCUUCGGGCCGCUGUGAAGGUGCUGCAUGGUUGUCGUCAGCUCGUGCCGUGAGGUGUCGGCUUAAGUGCCAUAACGAGCGCAACCCUCAUCGAUAGUUACUAACAGGUUAAGCUGAGGACUCUAUCGAGACUGCCGACGUAAGUCGUGAGGAAGGUGGGGAUGACGUCAAAUCAGCACGGCCCUUACGUCCAGGGCUACACACGUGUUACAAUGGGGGGUACAAAGGGCAGCUACCUGGCGACAGGAUGCUAAUCUCAAAAACCUCUCUCAGUUCGGAUUGGAGUCUGCAACCCGACUCCAUGAAGCUGGACUCGCUAGUAAUCGCGCAUCAGCCACGGCGCGGUGAAUACGUUCCCGGGCCUUGUACACACCGCCCGUCAAGCCAUGGGAGCCGGGGGGACCUGAAGUAUGCAACCGUAAGGAGCGUCCUAGGGUAAAACUGGUGACUGGGGCU
rnacentral:rRNA from 1 species